UACGAAGGGGGCUAGCGUUGCUCGGAAUUACUGGGCGUAAAGCGCACGUAGGCGGACUCUUAAGUCGGUGGUGAAAUCCUGGAGCUCAACUCCAGAACUGCCUUUGAUACUGAGAAGCUUGAGUCCGGGAGAGGUGAGUGGAACUGCGAGUGUAGAGGUGAAAUUCGUAGAUAUUCGCAAGAACACCAGUGGCGAAGGCGGCUCACUGGCCCGGUACUGACGCUGAGGUGCGAAAGCGUGGGGAGCGAACAGG
rnacentral:rRNA from 1 species